CCGGCUUGGACUUCGCCACGUAAGCCAGUCUUGUUGGCCCACGAGCUUCAAGAAAGCUGUGUCUCCCACCUUGGAGAGUUGGAACGAGAGGUGUGCCCUGGCUUUCUUUGUCCUCAAACUCCCUUCCUCAUGUUUGUAAGAGUGGGAUUGGCCAGCUUCCUGGACAUUUUCCAGGCCCGUGUUGAUACUGUACAGAUAUGGAUGCAGAUAUCAGCCAAGAUACAGUCAUAAUUACAGUCCGUGGUUCCUGAGAAUAUCAGCUCAGCAAUACAGGCCAUCUGCCAGUGAAUGUUCUGAAGAUAUCUGAUCCUGGAACCCAGUCAGGGCUGCAGAUUGCCUCUGGCCAUUAGAUACCUUUCAUCUUCCCCAGUGUCCUGUGCUUUCCAGCCCCCUCCACUCCUCCUGGUUCCAAAUCUUCUGUUUUCAAGACAUUUACAUCCGACUGUCAAGGCCCUCUUGAAGCUGGAGUGUUCGCAUGUGGCCUCCUCCCACCAUCUUCCUUGAACUCUGCUUGCAAGAAAGGACUACCUCAAAAGGCUUGUAUUGAAGCAGAGUCCUGGCACAGACACCUGCUGGUGGGGAACCUAGGGCCCAGGACCAGGGUGUGUGCUGCUUGUUCCUUCAGAGGCCGUGGAGCCAUCAAGUCCCCUCCAAUGGCUCCUGGACACCAUCGUACUGGCAGGCAGGGGACGGAGGUGGGUGUCAGGUUGACUGACCCUAUCUUGCUGGUGAUGGUUUUGCCCAUCUUCUGAGACUUGCUGUGCCCAUCCGGUGCAGACUCAGAGACUUGUGCACACUGUCUCUAUGGAGAAACUGAAGCACGCAGGGGAGGAUCACUGUCCUGAGGCUACACAGGCAGUUAGUGGCGAAUGCAAAACCAAGUUGGCCCAGUCAAAUCCAUGCUCCGGGGGGGGGGGUAGCAUAUUAUUCUGAGUAAUAAGCACUUCAGAUUUCAAAGACCUUUUUAGCUCAGCCCCUGUUCUGCCACGACAGCCCAAAGCAGCCAUUAGACAAUAUGUAAAUGAUUGGACAUGGCUUCACUCCAGAACCGUUGUAGGAACAGCUGGCUGUAUGCAGCUCCCGGGCUGGGUCUGCCAGUCCUUGCCCUUAGCCAGUAGCAAUAAUGGAAGCAUGGGGCAUGCUUCCCAGAAUGCCCCGGUGACCUCUCUGUCCUCACCCAAGUAGGCGAGGAAGUUUGCACAGACAGCAAUGGGCUGUAGAGGAGGCAGAGGUUCUGGAAGCCAAGCCAACUAGAAGACUCUGCUCUCUUCUGAAGAGCUAUGGCCUCCUGACUAGAGGCUCUAGGGGUGUGCUAACUCCAAGCUGUUUAGAAGCACUGCAAGUUGCAUGCUGCUCUCUGGUGUGGGUAGCAAUGGAUGCUCCUUCACCUUGGCUGUGGGGUUAAUGGCAUCAGAUAUCACCUCAGUGCUGGCAUGACGGCCAAGGUGAGGGUAAGACAGGCAGGUGACUACCUACACCGGACACAGGCUGGUCUCUCUAGCUUAAGGUAACACUAAAAGCAAGUUAAGUGCUUUGAGAAGCCUGAAAAAUGCAGCUUAUCAAGGAGUGUUUUGUGGGGCUGGAGAGACGGCUCAGCCGUUAAGGGCACUGACUGCGCUUCCAGAGGUCCUGAGUUCGAUCCCAGCACCCACAUGGAGACCAUCUGUAGCUGUGGAUGGGAUCAGAUGCCCUCUUCUGGUGUGCA